rnacentral:rRNA from 1 species
AGUGAACGCUGGCGGUAGGCCUAACACAUGCAAGUCGAACGGACGCACAGUAAGCGCUUGCUCUUACGGGUGGCGACUGGCGGACGGGUGAGGCAUACAUAGGCAUCCUCUUUUUCGUGGGGGAUUACGUGGGGCCAGUUCCGCUAAUACCGCAUACGUCCUACGGGUGAAAGCAAGAGAUAUUCGGGGCUUUCGCGUCUGUAUGAGCUGGUGUCGGAUUAGCUAGUUGGCGGGGUAAGGGCACACCAAGGCGACGAUACGUAGCUGGUCUGAGAGGAUGAUCAGCCACACUGGAACUGAGACACGGUCCAGACUCCUACGGGAGGCAGCAGUGGGGAAUAUUCGACAAUGGGCGCAAGCCUGACCCAGCAAUGCCGCGUGGGUGAAGAAGGCCUUCGGGUUGUAAAGCCCUGUUAUUAGGAAAGAAAAUCAGCAGAAUAAUAUCCCGCUGUUCUGACGGUACCCAAAGAAUAAGCACCGGCUAACUACGUG